GACCUCUACAUGGAGCACCUCUUCCAUCUGCCUAGAGAUAGUGUUGAGAAACUCACAGCUUCACAAAACUCCCCGUUGCAGUGAUGGACAUGUUCAAUAAUAUCCAGGAUGAAGAAGCUGGGAGGAGGCGCUGCUAAUAAUUGCGAAGGAUGUCAAGAAGGAAGAACUAAUGUGUUUAAACAUAUGGGCUGGGAUUCCUCUCACCUCACCAAUCAUGUAAAAAUUAGCACCCUGUUCUCCAAUUAGUCUCUGCACUGGGAGUGUGUGGACUGUGGAAGAAGGUAGCUGCAUCAUGAAGAUGACCAUCUGGGAGCCACAAGGCAUGGUCCAAGGGACCACCAGUAGAUCUUGUGAGUGACCCAGACCCAAGGCCCAGCUCUGCCACACUUUGGGGGGGUUUCUGCAAGGUGAGAAGAGCUCCCCAAACCCCUGUGACAGGCAACCCAUACGCCAGAUAACCCCGCAUGGUCUCCAUAACCUCCAUAGUCCCCAGACCAGGAAGGUGCACAUGUCCGUGGCCACCUUUGCCACCAGCUCUGCAGCUGAGCUUU
rnacentral:lncRNA from 1 species